UUUGAAAAAAUAUAUUCAACCAGCUUAAUUUUUCUAAUUUUGUUUUUGUUAAAUCCUGUUUUCUUAUUAACUAUUGAUUGCUAAGCAGCAGGCAGUGUGCUAAGUACGUUACCUGGAUUAUCCGGUUAAUCCUUCCAAUAGCUACACGGUGAAGACACAGAUGUCCACAUCUUCUGCAGAUAAGGAAACUGAGGGGUAAUAAUAAAUAAUUUGCACAACACAGCACAAAGCUGAGGAGCCAACACUGGACCUGACGAAGUCCCAUUCUGGAAGCCAAACUCCCAACUGCUAAGCUCUGCUUGAAUUCUCAUUGAGCAUCUCGCUUCUUUAAAGUUUCAACAACUCAGCAGUCUAUAAUCCAACUCGCCUUCUCCGCAAUGCCAAAAGUGCAAUGAGCUUCAUGCUGAAUACUGAUUUGAAGUGUGGUUCACCACACAGACUUAAAUUGUCCUUCCCACAACUUUAUCUGAGAAGCCUGACAACGGUGACAAUCACAGGACUAGUUUUAUUGGUCAGGAUGUGGUGUUACUAUAUUAAAGCGCUUCAGGUUUUCAUAGCGCUCGUCAAACAGAGACCUCGGAACACUCUGCAGACAUUAAUUAAUGUUCGCUCCGGCCCUGGAAGCCAUUUCACCAAUGGAAAUUCCGAUGAGAAAAAGGAAGAAACGAGGGGUUCAAGGCCGCGCCGUUGUGAGUCCGCUGCGGAACUAGGAACUGAAACCCCGUGGUUCCCAAUGAGCCAGCGAAAGUCUGUCGAAGUAUUGAGCACCCCUAUUGAAGACUGUGGGAGUUUUGGCGGCUUAAUGGGAUUGUGUUCGGUCCUUCAGGCUCUCCUUUAAAAGAUUCCAUGGCACCAACGAGACUCCAAUAAAAGGGCCUCUCUAAUUGCUUUCUGACUUUCUAUGAAACUUUCUAAGCUAUGCUGACAUCCUCGAAUACAACUAUGGAAUUAAAGAGGAGAGAAAGGCGAGGCACAGUGGGUGCGCAAAGAAAAAGAGGUUCUCAGCGGA
rnacentral:lncRNA from 1 species